UUUAGAGAAGUUUGGAAUUGUUCAUGGAAAUUAAGGUCGUGGGUUCGAAGUAUAGCGGACCAGUUUCGUCUUUGGGGGUAUGUUAUGGCUUAACUCUUUCAAAAUGGGCUGGGUAUUAAAUGAUGUUACAAAAUAUAUGUCAAGGGUAGGAACUAAUCAAGAAAAAUGGCUAUUUUUGUGCUGUGCCCGUGUGGGGGCA
rnacentral:lncRNA from 1 species